UACCAGCUCUCCGAGUGGUGUGGAUGUUUAUCGGGCCUAAAGCAUCCGUAGCUGGCUGGGCAAGUCCCCUGUUAAAUCCACCGAUUUAAUCGUUGGUGUGCGGGGGAUACUGUUCGGCUAGGGGACGGGAGAGGCCGACGGUAUUUCCGGGGUAGGGGUGGAAUCCUAUAAUCCCGGGAAGACCACCAGUGGCGAAGGCUGUCGGCUAGAACGCGCCCGACGGUGAGGGAUGAAAGCUGGGGGAGCGAACCGGAUUAGAUGCCCGGGUAGUCCCAGCUGUAAACGAUGCAGGCUGGGUGUUUGGGCGGCCACGUGCCGCUCUAGUGCCGCAAGGAAGCUGUUAAGCCUGCCGCCUGGGGAGUACGGCCGCAAGGCUGAAACUUAAAGGAAUUGGCGGGGGAGCACCACAAGGGGUGAAGCUUGCGGUUU
rnacentral:rRNA from 1 species